CUCUCUCCGUCUGCAAGUUGUUUAUGUCUUAGAAGAAAAUUACCGGGGGGUUUUAGGCGAGACCGUUGUCUUCUAUCGCGAAAUAAGAGACGUCUUUUGCUCUGUUUUGCGUGUCCUACUAACACGUAGCGAUCCGCAAUUGAUUCAUUUUUAAUUUUUUUUUUUUUAAAUCAAAAAAAAAAAAAAAUAGGAAAUAAGUAUUUGCGUUGAGGGUGCUCUUACGUCUCUUCUUUUCCUGAUUCAACAUUUUUCUCUCAAAAGUUAUAGAUUCUAUGUAGAGAUUCAUCGGCAAAGCUUAUUCUUUUGAAUCUAUCUCCUUUAUUUUCGUGUUCGUAUCUUAGACCAGGAGGAGUAGCAAUGAGUUUUAUUCACCAAUCGACAAAGACAAUGAAGGACCAGAAAGAGACGUGAGCUUGGGUCAACAACAACAAGAGCUUCUGCGUUUGUGUCUUUCAUCUACUACCUUCUCCUUACGGCAUGUGUUUAGCUGCAGACCCUUUCGUCUCGUACGACUUCAAAGUCUCGAAAUUCCUCAACAGUAAAGGUCGUGGCCGUGAGCAAGAGGACCCAUCUCGAACUCGCCUCCGUCACGACCCGUCGUCACCGGUCUUGAGCUUGUCUUCACCGGUCUCGAACUCGUCCCUGUAGUCAUCGAUGAUGCCGGAGAUGGAGAUGAAUAGACGAAGACAUCGAGAAGAAAGAGGCAAAUGAGCAAGGAGGCGGCAGUAGAAAGAUUAGGUUUAGGGUUAAUUAUGUUUAUAUUUUGGUUUAGCGUUAAUUAGAUUUUGGUUAAUGUGUUCUGGUUUAUUUAAUUUAUAUUAUAAAUCAAUUUUAAUUUUAA